UGACAUUGGCCUGCGAAUGGCACUAGAAGAAUUCACGGGGUUUUUGGGUCCCCGUGGACUUUCAGUGCCAUCCCCAGAGCCUCUGGCA
rnacentral:pre_miRNA from 14 species